rnacentral:lncRNA from 1 species
CAAAGGAUGGCCCUGUACUAGCCAGGUCAGCUCAACCCAGACAAAAUGAAGUUACUUAUCAUUUGAAAUCUCACAGGGAAAACAGCACUGUGUAGAAAGAACAACCAAUUAAAGUUCAGGGUUGGACUGGCACAACAAAGAUAUCUCUGAUAUCCCCCACUGGGUUUGGAAUCUGGAUGAUUUUUAGAGAGAAUACCAAGAAGGUGAAAGAGAACAAACAGGAAUGAAGCACUGGGAAAUACUGGAUCAGACGUAGAACUAAGGGAGGAGCUGGGGAAAAGAGCAUCACAGAAAUGACUGUGUGGAGCCCAUAAAGGUGCAGCUGAGUGCCAGGUGAGGU